rnacentral:tRNA from 1 species
GCAUAGGUAGCUUAAAAACAAAGCGUCGGCCUUGUAAGCCGAAUAUUGGUGGUUUAAGUCCCCCCUUCUGCU